rnacentral:lncRNA from 1 species
UUAGCCGUAGUUCUAAGACCUGAAAAAAAUAAAUGAAGUGAAAAAGAUGUUAAAAAAAUUAAAAAAUAUGAGUUUUAUCCUGAACUUCAAAAAUGGCAAAAAAAAAAAAUCUAUAUUAUCCAAAGAAUAAAUAGAUGGUUGGUUACAUAUACAUAUACAUAUAGAUCUUCAACCUAAAAAAAAUAAAAAAUAUUAAAACGUACACUUUUUAUAUUGUUUUAAAAUUAGUUUGCAUCUUCGUAUAGAUGUACAACAUGAGAAAACAAAAGAAGUGAAAAAGAUGUUAAAAGGAUGAAAAAAAUAAGGGUUUUGUCAUGAACUUCAAAAAUGGAAAAAGAAGAUCUAUAUUAUCCAGAGAAUACACAUAUGGUUACAUGCACAUAUAGAUCUAUAACCUAAAAAAAUAAAAGAUGUUAACUUACACUUGCGUCUUCGUAUACAUCUACAAUCUAAAAAAAAAGGAAAAAGAAAAAAAUUAUAAAUAUGUAAAACAAUGAUGAAGAUAAAAAGAUGAUAUCUAAAUGAAUGAGAGAAAAUGAAGAAGAAAGGAAUAUAGAGAAAUGUGAGAGAUACAACAAGUAAAGAGAAAGAAGAGAGAAAGAAAAAUGGUUGGGGGAAAACUGAGAAAGCAUGAGAAAAAAAG